rnacentral:rRNA from 1 species
UACGUAGGGGGCGAGAGAUGUCCGGAUUUACUGGGUGUAAAGGGUGCUCAGGUGGAUUUGUAAGUCAGAGGUGAAAUCCCAAAGCUCAACUUUGGAGCUGCCUUUGAUACUGCAAGUCUGGAGUUUGGGAGAGGGUAAUGGAAUAUCUGGUGUAGCAGUGAAAUGCGUAGAGAUCAGAGAGAACACCAAUGGCGAAGGCAGUUGCCUGGCCCAAAACUGACGCUAAAGCACGAAAGUGUGGGGAGCAAACAGG